rnacentral:rRNA from 1 species
ACUCCUACGGGAGGCAGCAGUGGGGAAUAUUGCACAAUGGGCGAAAGCCUGAUGCAGCAACGGCCGCGUGCGGGAUGACGGCCUUCGGGUUGUAAACCGCUUUCAGUAGGGACGAAGGUAACCUGACGGUACCUACAGAAGAAGGACCGGCCAACUACGUGCCAGCAGCCGCGGUGAUACGUAGGGUCCGAGCGUUGUCCGGAAUUAUUGGGCGUAAAGGGCUUGUAGGCGGUCUGUCACGUCGGAAGUGAAAACUCAGGGCUUAACCCUGAGCCUGCUUCCGAUACGGGCAGACUAGAGGGAUGCAGGGGAGAACGGAAUUCCUGGUGGAGCGGUGGAAUGCGCAGAUAUCAGGAGGAACACCGGUGGCGAAGGCGGUUCUCUGGGCAUUUCCUGACGCUGAGAAGCGAAAGCGUGGGGAGCAAACAGGCUUAGAUACCCUGGUAGUCCACGCCGUAAACGGUGGGCACUAGGUGUGGGGGACAUUCCACGUUCUCCGUGCCGCAGCUAACGCAUUAAGUGCCCCGCCUGGGGAGUACGGCCGCAAGGCUAAAACUCAAAGGAAUGGACG